UAUGUCCUACGGGACGCAGCAGUAGGGAAUAUUGCUCAAUGGGGGAAACCCUGAAGCAGCAACGCCGCGUGGAGGAUGAAGGUUUUAGGAUUGUAAACUCCUUUUGUUAGAGAAGAUUAUGACGGUAUCUAACGAAUAAGCACCGGCUAACUCCGUGCCAGCAGCCGCGGUAAUACGGAGGGUGCAAGCGUUACUCGGAAUCACUGGGCGUAAAGAGCGCGUAGGCGGGAUAGCAAGUCAGAUGUGAAGUCCUAUGGCUUAACCAUAGAACUGCAUUUGAAACUGUU
rnacentral:rRNA from 1 species